CCAUACUGACCGGGGAGUUAGCGGUGCCUUGUACCCACAAUCCGCUAUAGUGGGGGUGAACACCUAUCGAGGGCACAGUUUGUGUCGUUGCGCCGAAUGCACCUUGUUGAGAGGCGGGUCCUUGCGCAAUUCGCACCUGCGAAUUAUGUCAGGUGGGGAACCAAGCAGCAUUAAGCAGACCUGCGGAUGUGCCGUAAGGGUGCCUGUCUUGAGAGGUAAUUUCGGUUUCCGGGCGGAAGUUAUGUUCGACAUAGGGUGUAUGG
rnacentral:SRP_RNA from 1 species